rnacentral:rRNA from 1 species
UACAGAGGGUGCGAGCGUUAAUCGGAAUUACUGGGCGUAAAGCGCACGUAGGUGGCGACGUAAGUAGGGUGUGAAAGCCCCGGGCUCAACCUGGGAAUUGCAUUCGAGACUGCAUUGCUGGAGUACGGAAGAGGAGGGCGGAAUUCCCGGUGUAGGGGUGAACUGCGUAGAUAUCGGGAGGAACAUCAGUGGCGAAGGCGGCCCUCUGGUCCAGUACUGACACUCAAGUGCGAAAGCGUGGGGAGCAAACAGG